AUUCCUGCAGUUGAAUAUAAGUGAGAUGAUAUUAUGGACUGACAGCCAAAUAGUGAAAAGCUGGUUUUACUCAGACAAACUAUUGGAACCGUUCGUGUCCAGAAGAAUACAAGAAAUCAAAAAGAACAAAAAACUGGUUGUGAGAUAUGUUCCAUCUGGACAAAAUCCAGCUGAUGUCGCAACGCGGCCGAAUGCCUCAUCAGAAGAGAGGAAGAGGUGGCUAGAAGGACCCGUCUUCUUAAGACAUGAUGUGAAAACUUGGCCGAAAAAUCCGAAUAUUGAAGUUUCUCUUCUGUUGGGGGAGGGUCCGUCCAAGACAGAAGAACAUCAAGGAGCAAAAACCUUGUCAACUAAAUCUUGUUCUGGGCCUAACCUAGACCCUGAAGUACAAGAAAUAAGACAGCUACAAGAAAAAUGGUUUUUAGAAGAAGUACAAGGAAAAAAGACAAGUCUAGCUCGCAACUUAGGUUUGUUCUGUGACACAAAUGGAAUCUUACGCUGUGACGGUCGCUUGACAUAUUCAGAUUUAACAUUUGAUGCAAAACAUCCAAUCCUUUUGCCAAAAGAUUGUGAAUUUACUGAAAAACUCAUAAAAGAGACUCAUGAAAGGAAUCUUCAUGUUGGGGUACCUCAUACCUUAAGCCUUAUACGUCAGAAAUAUUGGAUACCUCAAGGAAGAUCAAGGGUCCAAAAAACGAUAGGUAAAUGUCCAAGAUGUGUGAAACACGGAGGAGGUCCAUACGAACUACCCAAGACUCCUGCAUUACCGGUAGAAAGAGUAAAGUAUACAACUGCAUUUACUUACACAGGAGCAGACUACUUCGGACCCAUGACCGUAAAGACAGAAAACGGUCCAAGGAAAAGAUGGAUCUGUUUGUUUACAUGUCUAGUGAUAAGAGCAAUACACUUGGAAGUUGUUAAGGACCUGAGCACCAGUGAGUGCCUCAUGGCAUUUAGAAGAUUCAUAGCCACUAGAGGGGUGCCAGCACUUAUAUUGACUGAUAAUGCAACACAAUUCAGACUGCUAGGGGAAACACUUGCAGAUGAAGAAAGAUUCAAAACUAACUUGAAAUGGAAGUUUAUCCCCCAACUGGCCCCUUGGCAUGGCGGAGUAUAUGAAAGAUUGAUUUCUAUAGUGAAACAUUGUUUAAAAAGAACGUUGGAAAAGCACAUUUUAACUGAUAACCAGUUAUUGACAAUAAUGAAAGAAUCUGAGGCAGUAAUCAAUUCAAGACCGCUCACAUAUGUGGGAGCAAAUGUAGAUCACAUUCUCAAACCUGCAGAUUUUCUGACACCAGGAAAGUGUUUCAGUGUCGAAGUACUCACUGAAAGCUUACCAUUAUCCGGUUCACUUAUUAAAAAACAACUUAUAGAAGGAUGGAACCGAGGCAACAUGAUAAUGGCCGAAUACAAGGAAAUGUUCUUAAACCAGUACUUGUUGAGCUUAAGAGAAAGAUAUCGAAAUUCACCCAAACAAGCAAGGGUGAGGUGUCAGAGAAUUCCAAGGAUUGGAGAUGUAGUACAAAUAAAGGGUGAAGCCAAGAAUAGGGAAGGAUGGAAGGUGGGAACAAUCUCAGAAUUAAUCAAAGGAAAAGACGGUUUAUGUAGAAUUGCAAAGGUUAAAGUAGAAAACGGUGUAUUCACAAGGUCAAUAGCACAUUUAUAUCCUUUGGAAGCUGAUGAAGAUACGUCUUUCCAAGAUCCUAUCAGAACAUCCUUAGACAAUGAAGCUAGAGGCGUAUGCAUUAACUUAGAAGAAGAAUCUCAGACCUUACCAUUGAGAACUAAUGAGACUCAGGCGUACGACUCUACAAGUGCAGGAAGUUCUGAGGACAAUCAUAAAAAUUCAAAUAAUGAUAUCGAAAAUGAAUUAAAUUUAAAUGACCACAGUGAAUUGUUGAUAGAUUCAGAUUUGACACAAAGAGAGGAUACUGCUCCAGUACAAACUCCCAUUACUGACACAGAAUCUGACAAUGAAGAAGCCUCGAGUCAAGCUGUUGAUUCAGGUGCUCAACGCAGAACUGCCGCGGUCCAAGCUAUGCAAAAAAUUCAUAGAUGGACGCGAGAUUUGAUGUCAGCCAUAAAUUAAUUUCUGAGAGGCGGGAGUGUCGCGAAACACGCGAUGAUUGUAAAAAUUGUAAAUAGCAACAUUAUGAAGAAAAGAAAAAAUAAGUAAAUUUGUCUAUGGGUGAGUGACAUCUUGUUUUCAUAUUUUGUGAGUAAACUCUUAAACUUUAAAUUCAUAAACUAUAUUAGAAUCAGUGUUUGUGCACGAAGAUCUCCAAUUCGCAGUUAACGAGAUAAAGCUAAGUAUUUAGAAUAAACCAAUAUUUAUAAAUAUCCCAAUUAGAAAGUAUAAAACGACGAUCGACAUGAUGAAUUAAUUUAUAUGUUACCAUGCUUUCAUGAACUCUAAUUUCUUUAGCCAUGUCGGGCUGGAUAGAGACUAUAGAAAUUGUGGAUACGGUGCACCGUCGUCUUAGUAUCAGAUCUGGAGAUGUCUUCCAUAUAGGUUGUUUCGAGAUUUCCAGAACCUUAGCACGUGAGCUUCAUGUUUGCAGUCAGGAGAUCCAACAGAGUGACUGGCAUAACCUGAUGAAUGAGGGAUGUAUGUUGAAUGUUCGCAUGUGUCCACCUUUGAGAAUGUCUUGAACGUUUAAACCCAAUAAUUCUUAUUGUGUGAAAUAAUUCCUAACCUUGAUCUAUCCAUAACUGUGUCUUAGAUUAAGUGCUUAGUGAUUCAGAAGGAAUCAAUUUAACAAUCUUUAAACAGAUUGGAGAGAUGACUACCAUUAGCUGUUAAUGAAAGGCUGCGAUGGUUGGGGACCUUCGGAGCACUGUAACAUAUAUUUAUAGAGGUAAGCCACUUGUGCGAAGUGUGUGCAAGCACCAUAACUAAAAGCAUGUCGCAACCAAAGAUUUCUAAAGUAAGGACAAUCGUGUUUGAUGUGCCUUGGUGAACGCUACAACGUAGUUGGUUAAUGAGCUCACAUAGACUGCAUGCUUGGCACACAUUUGUGCACAGCGGUGUUGCUGACCACUGCUGGCAUCAUUCUUGGUGCUGCACGUAUACCGUAUCGUAUGCCAUGUCCUCCCAACUGUUAGCGCAACCUGCAGAAUAUCACUACAGCUUCGCAAAAAAGAGUAGAAAUGGAACUAUUUUUUUUUAUCAUAGCAAUACUUGUUCUCAUAAAAAGGGUCAAAAUAGUUGCCACAUGCAAAAUGGUUUACGUAUUACCAAGUAUUACGCAGACGGUGGCGCCUCUAUUAUUCUACUCUUUUAUGCUAAACUGUAAAUUGUUUGCUAAAGAGCAUCAAAUAAAUACCAAUUAAAUAAAAUC